UACGUAGGGGGCAAGCGUUGUCCGGAUUUAUUGGGCGUAAAGAGCGUGUAGGCGGUCAGGUAGGUCCGUUGUGAAAACUCGAGGCUCAACCUCGAGACGCCGAUGGAAACCAUCUGACUAGAGUCCGGAAGAGGAGAGUGGAAUUCCUGGUGUAGCGGUGAAAUGCGCAGAUAUCAGGAGGAACACCGAUGGCGAAGGCAGGUCUCUGGGCCACUACUGACGCUGAGACGCGAAAGCGUGGGGAGCGAACAGG
rnacentral:rRNA from 1 species